CGGAGAGGGCGCAUGAGACCUUUGCCCAGGCCCUACGGGGCGCAGCAGUUGCGAAAACUCCGCAAUACGCGAAAGCGUGACGGGGCUACCCCGAGUGCCGUCCGCUGAGGAUGGCUUUUCCACGGUGUAAGGAGCCGUGGGAAUAAGGAGAGGGCAAGCCUGGUGUCAGCCGCCGCGGUAAUACCAGCUCUCCGAGUGGUGGGGACGAUUAUUGGGCUUAAAGCGUUCGUAGCCGGCUCAGCAAGUCUUCCGUUAAAUCCAACGAUCUAAUCGUUGGGCUGCGGGAGAUACUGUUGGGCUAGGGGGCGGGAGAAGCCGACGGUAUCCUCGGGGUAGGGGUGAAAUCCUAUAAUCCCGGGAAGACCACCAGUGGCGAAGGCGGUCGGCUAGAACGCGCCCGACGGUGAGGGACGAAAGCUGGUGGAGCGAACCGUAUUACAUACCCGGGUAGUCCCAGCCGUAAACGAUGCGGGCUAGGUGUUGGGGCGGUCACGAACCGCCUCAGUGCCGCACGGAAGCAAUUAAGCCCGUCGCCUGGGGAGCACGGUCGCUAUGGCUGAAACUUAAAGGAAU
rnacentral:rRNA from 1 species